CGUUAGCGGCGGACGGGUGAGUAACACGUGGAUAACCUACCUAUAAGACUGGGAUAACUUCGGGAAACCGGGGCUAAUACCGGAUAACACAUGAAACCGCAUGGUUUCAUGAUGAAAGACGGUUUUGCUGUCACUUAUAGAUGGACCCGCGGCGUAUUAGCUAGUUGGUAAGGUAACGGCUUACCAAGGCAACGAUGCGUAGCCGACCUGAGAGGGUGAUCGGCCACACUGGAACUGAGACACGGUCCAG
rnacentral:rRNA from 1 species